GGUGGUGUGGACUGAGCACCUCGUGUUGCGUUGCCCGGACGCUUGGCUGCAGCUGCCACGGAGCGAGUGACGAAGGGCCGCGUGGCGCGGAAGGGCGGGGAUCCCUCUUUCGGAGCGCGUUGCCGUCGUGCGCCGUCCAGCCACCUCUGACGUACGGCGACCGCAGGAAGGGAGGCUCUCCAGGACGUCCCGCCCACAGCAGCCCUGCCCAGCUCUUGCAGAUUCCAGGGGCUGGCUUCCUUUAUGGAGUCGGUCCAGCUCACAUUUGGUCGUCCUUUGCUUCUGCUUUUGACACACAAUCGCCUUCUCACGAUGCGCCCAGGGUGCGACAGCCUCGGUCCCCUUUCCGGUCGCCGUGCAUCGCGCUGGCACGCUCUGUGCUGGCCUGGAGGCCUAUUUUGGGCAGGAAGCCUCCUCCUCCCCCAUCCUUUUGUGCCUGUCGUUCCCGCCCGGCCUGGCCCGGCCCGUCGGUCGCUGUUUGAGUGCCUUGUGGGAGCCUUCUUGCGAACUGCUGUCAUCGUUCAAUCCCACUGCAUUGUUCUUCUUGUCCUGCCGUGGCUUUUUUCUCUGUCUUGUAGGUGGUUUGCUUUGCGUUCUGCUUUUGCCAUCUCCUCAGCUGCUUUGGGGCGCAUGGCCUAAAGGCGCCAUCCCGCAGUCAAGAAGGUGCCGAGAAUGUUCAAGAUGGAUGUGGGGCCAACUUGUUCCAGUUGUGGCAGACGGUGCGACAGGCUUGUGGCCCAAAUAAACAAGGAAGAACAAAA